UUGCUACUUGCCCUUCAAGCCGCAAUUACCACCUCGGCGGCAGAGAAAGGGACUAAGAUGCUCACCCCAAUAAAGGAGUCUCAGACUGUUUCAAAAUUACCAGAUCUUGCCGUGGAACAGAGAGAAUCAUUGGCUUCCUAAGAACUUCCCACAGAAGAAGCUGUCGAACAAAUUUGUCUUAUGUCAUCAUUGCCUGUGGGAGAUGAAUGCAGAAGUGGCCCAGUUAGAAGAGACAAACGUGGAGCACAGCACAAAACCUAAAUUGUACCCCCUACCAUGCAAUAGUUCUGUAGCUUAUAAGAAUAUGUGAUAACCUAGUCAUUGAUAAUAAAAUCAUAAAAAUAUUAAACGUUUUGAGACUGCGUGUUGUCUAUUGGAAAUUGACAUGUGUGUUCCAUGUACAGUUGUGUAAAAUAGAAAGUUUACACUCUUUGAA